UUUCUGUGUGGAGUUUGCAUGUUCUCCCCGUGAAUGCGUGGGUUCCCUCCGGGUACUCCGGCAUCCUCCCACCUCCAAAGACAAGCACCUGGGGAUAGGUUGAUUGGCAACACUAAAUUGGCCCUAGUGUGUGAAUGUGAGUGUGAAUGUUGUCUGUCUAUCUGUGUUGGCCCUGUGAUGAGGUGGCGACUUGUCCAGGGUGUACCCUGCCUUCCGCCCGAUUGUAGCUGAGAUAGACGUCACGAGUUUGACCAGGCGGUAAUUCAAGGCAGGCGCAUACUAAAUGCCCUGCGGCAAUUCAAGGAAAUAACGGUAUAUAACAGUAAAAUAAGAAUAUAACAAUUUAAACUAGGCAGUAGUGACCAUGUUAUAAAAACGUAUUUCACUGUUAUUAUUAUUUACAACAGCAUUCAAAAAUGUCCGCUCAUUUUUAUACUUGGCAAACUCCUCCCGCAGGCCGUAUAAAACCUGUUCCUGGGCCUGAUCCGGCCCUCGGGCCCUAGGUUUGACAUCCCUGGCUUAAAAGCUCCGCAGAGAGGAGAAACACGAAGACCUUGCGUCUGAUUUGACAUUUGCAAGCUUGCACAACCACGACAUGCGAGGAAAGUCGGUUUUGUCUUUACUGUGAUGAUGAUUAUUACUGCGUUUGUUGUACGUCUUUAGAAAAUAAAACUGAUGUUUUCACGGCCCUCA